rnacentral:rRNA from 1 species
UACAGAGGUCUCAAGCGUUGUUCGGAUUCAUUGGGCGUAAAGGGCGCGUAGGUGGCUCUGUAUGUCUACCGUGAAAGCAUACAGCUCAACUGUAUUUUGUCGGUAGAAACUGCAGGACUUGAGGCUGGGAGGGGCUGGUGGAAUUCCCUGUGUAGCGGUGAAAUGCGUAGAGAUGGGGGAGAACACUCGUGGCGAAGGCGGCCAGCUAGACCAGUUCUGACACUGAGGCGCGACAGCGUGGGGAGCAAACAGG